GCGCCUGUAGCUCAACUGGAUAGAGCAGCGGACUACGAAUCCGUCGGUUGGAGGUUCGAAUCCUCUCAGGCGCGCCA
rnacentral:tRNA from 1 species